UACGUAGGGGGCAAGCGUUAUCCGGAUUUACUGGGUGUAAAGGGAGCGUAGACGGAAUUGCAAGUCUGAUGUGAAAAUCCGGGGCCCAACCCCGGAACUGCAUUGGAAACUAUGUAACUAGAGUACCGGAGAGGUAAGCGGAAUUCCUAGUGUAGCGGUGAAAUGCGUAGAUAUUAGGAGGAACACCAGUGGCGAAGGCGGCUUACUGGACGGAAACUGACGUUGAGGCUCGAAAGCGUGGGUAUCGAACAGG
rnacentral:rRNA from 1 species